rnacentral:rRNA from 1 species
GACGAACGCUGGCGGCGUGCUUAACACAUGCAAGUCGAACGGAAAGGCCCUGCUUGCCGGGUACUCGAGUGGCGAACGGGUGAGUAACACGUGGGUGAUCUGCCCUGCACUUCGGGAUAAGCCUGGGAAACUGGGUCUAAUACCGGAUAGGAGCCAUUUUUAGUGUGAUGGUUGGAAAGUUUUUUCGGUGUAGGAUGAGCUCGCGGCCUAUCAGCUUGUUGGUGGGUAAUGGCCUACCAAGGCGGCGACGGGUAGCCGGCCUGAGAGGGUGGACGGCCACAUUGGGACUGAGAUACGGCCCAGACUCCUACGGGAGGCAGCAGUGGGGAAUAUUGCACAAUGGGCGCAAGCCUGAUGCAGCGACGCCGCGUGGGGGAUGACGGCCUUCGGGUUGUAAACUCCUUUCGCUAGGGACGAAGCUUUUGUGACGGUACCUAGAUAAGAAGCACCGGCUAACUACGUG